UCGAUGUUUCUUAUUUGUUAUGUCCUUGUUAUUUUAAUUAGUGGGGAUGGCCUAAAGCGGGAAUUGUUAUUAAACCAUUUUAAACAUUUUUCUUUCUAACGCUAGAUGAGUUAGAAGCUUAUUUUGCAGCUCAUUUUUCAUUUGUUGCAGUACUUUGCACAUCUCUAAAACAUUUAUCGGCAGUUGGUGUGAAGACAUUUUUAGUGAUAAAUGACAUUGACUAAGUCAGCAACAAACUCAUUUGUUAGAUUUUUUAAACUGUGCUUUUUUCCUACUUCCGGUGCUAAAUGAGUUAGUAUUUCAGUCUAAGCAUGACUUACGUCUCCUCCCUGCUAGCAAGCCCCUGUCUUAUGGAUGUCUUUACUGCUGCUCCAAAUGCGAGUCGACCGAACGGAAUUUGCCAAGAAAUUGUUCCAUAUGUAAUCGGGAAACCCGGGAACUGAAGAUCAAGCCCACGAUUUUCCCUCUACCUCUCUGCUAUGCUAACUCAUAGCGCCAUCGUUGUUCAUCACAAACAAGUGACUCGUACUCUUGCUAAUGGCCAGGUCAGGCUGACUUUUCAGCAAAGAGUCCGCAAAGAGUGGCAGAGAAGAAACUAUAGAAUCCAAUAUAUCAGCUGUAAUGUGUAACAGUAUGUUGAACAUCAUUUCAAGCAAUUAUUCAUCUGUUUUAUUCAUUACCCAUUCCCAACAACGUCAAAAUGCAGAAGGAAAGGCCAGUUUGCAUGUUUUUCACUCGAAGGUCACGGAAAAAAACGUGUCAUGCAGUGGUGUAAGGUUGGGUGAGAACGACACGUGUUGCUUCAUUGUCAAGCAGGUACUAUUGCCGCAAGGCUCAAGAGAUGAGGGUGAGGAAAAAUCGUAUAAAUCGAGAGAGAAAAGGCGACAGAGAUCAAUCAGUCGAGUGAGCAUCUCCGACACGGCAACAACUGCAGCGCACUAUUUUUCAAAGUUCUACCUUCUUCAUCGCAUAACUGGUUCGCAAUCGUGGUUAACUUACUAUGGCGACGUGAUGUUGUUGGGAGUUGUAUCGUUGAUGGCUGGGUCGAUCAGCGGUCUACCGAUGUCUCCUGGGUGUGGUGAAUAUCAAGAAACAGCAGCGAAAGAAUACUAUACCACGCCGCCUCCUUAUUGAGCAACAACGUCAAUACCUACUUACUAUACGGAGGCCUUAAAGUACUACACCACCAAGGCUCUUGAGUAUUAAACUGCAACUUACGCUGCUCCGUCUUAGGAAACAUGGUUAACUGUGGGUCGUGCCGCUGUUGGAUGUUAUAUCAUGUCAUAUCAUUGAUGGCUGGGUCGACCACUGGUGUGCCGAUGUCUCCUGGUUAUGGUAAGUACCAAACCGCAACGCCGCGCCCUUACUACACAACGAAGUCAACAUACGCAACAUCUGUUCUUACACCGAGGCUCCCAAGUACUACACCACCGAG